AUACGGAGGGGGCUAGCGUUGUUCGGAAUUACUGGGCGUAAAGCGCGCGUAGGCGGUCCGCGUAGUCAGGCGUGAAAGCCCUGGGCUCAACCUGGGAACUGCGCUUAAUACUGGUAGACUUGAGUCCGGGAGAGGGUGGCGGAAUUCCCAGUGUAGAGGUGAAAUUCGUAGAUAUUGGGAAGAACACCAGUGGCGAAGGCGGCCACCUGGCCCGGUACUGACGCUGAGGUGCGAAAGCGUGGGGAGCAAACAGGAUUAGAAACCCCAGUAGUCC
rnacentral:rRNA from 1 species